rnacentral:lncRNA from 1 species
AAGCAUCAGAUUCAAUAGUAAUUUGUUGCAGAAUAAGAACAAUAUAAUAGACCAACAUAAACAACAAAGUAAUUUGCUGCAUAAUAAAAACAUCAUAAUAAACCAGCAUAAGAACAGUAUAAUAACAGCAUAAUAAACUCCAAUUAGAACAUAAUAAACAACAUAGUCAUUGUAACAAUUUAACAAAUGGAAACUAACUACAACAUCAUAAGAACAACAUAAUAAACAAGAAUAACCAAUUAAACUUUCGAACGCAUAUGUCACUGCAAUAUGUUGAACUCAACAAUAUUAAACUCGAAACAUAAGAACUAUAAACACUUGCCGGAACACAACAAUGUCAAGAACACAGUAGAUGAGAGAAGAGAAUGUGUGAGCUGUGUUGAACGCAGUAUGUCAUUUUCGAACGCAGUUGGUCAUAUUCGAAUGCAGUAGAUGAGAGAAAAGAAACGCCGCAACUUGCAGCUAGGUUAAAUUUACGUUGUAUGCUAGUGUGAAACUAAGGAUGGGUCAAAUGGUAGUAGUGAAUUAAGGUCCAAUUACUAACGUUGUGCAAGCAAUUGAAUUUAGAUUCAAUAAUUUGUUUUAAUUUAUAAUAUGGGCUAAGUAAUAAAAUGAAAAUUUUAAAAAAAAAUUAUCGAACUAUCCAUACCUCAU